UACAGAGGGUGCAAGCGUUGUUCGGAAUUAUUGGGCGUAAAGGGCGCGUAGGCGGUUCGGCAAGUCUCUAGUGAAAUCUCUGGGCUCAACUCAGAGUCUGCUGGGGAAACUGCCGGGCUUGAGUGUGGGAGAGGAGAGUGGAAUUCCCGGUGUAGCGGUGAAAUGCGUAGAUAUCAGGAGGAACACCGAUGGCGAAGGCAGGUCUCUGGGCAUUAACUGACGCUGAGGAGCGAAAGCAUGGGGAGCGAACAGG
rnacentral:rRNA from 1 species